ensembl:lncRNA
UUACUGUAACUGUAACCACCCAGACUACUGCUGGAUGUAUAGUUCCUGAACCACCCAGACUACUGCUGGAUAUAUAGACUAUAGUUACUGUAACCACCCAGACUACUGCUGGAUGUAUAGUUACUGGAACCACCCAGACUACUGCUGGAUAUAUAGACUAUAGUUACUGUAACCACCCAGACUACUGCUGGAUGUAUAGUUACUGUAACCACCCAGACUACUGCUGGAUUUACUGUAACUGUAACCACCCAGACUACUGCUGGAUGUAUAGUUACUUUCCUGAACCACCCAGACUACUGCUGGAUGUAUAGUUACUGUAACCACCCAGACUACUGCUGGAUGUAUAGUUACUGUAACUACCCAGACUACUGCUGGAUGUAUAGUUACUGAAAUGACCCAGACUACUGCUGGAUGUAUAGUUACUGUAACCACCCAGACUACUGCUGGAUGUAUAGUUACUGUAACUGUAACCACCCAGACUACUGCUGGAUGUAUAGUUACUGUAACCACCCAGACUACUGCUGGAU